GCCCUUGUAGUAUAACGGCUUAUUAUACGGCCCUGUCGAGGCCGGGACGCGGGUUCGACUCCCGCCUGGGGCG
rnacentral:tRNA from 1 species